rnacentral:rRNA from 1 species
CGGGGGGGCGAAGCGUUGUUCGGAAUUACUGGGCGUAAAGGGCUCGUAGGCGGCCAACUAAGUCGGACGUGAAAUCCCCAGGCUCAACCUGGGAACUGCGUCCGAUACUGGAUGGCUUGAAUCCGGGAGAGGGAUGCAGAAUUCCAGGUGUAGCGGUGAAAUGCGUAGAUAUCUGGAGGAAUACCGGUGGGCGAAGGCGGCAUCCUGGACCGGCAUUGACGCUGAGGAGCGAAAGCCAGGGGAGCAAACGGGAUUAGAUACCCCGGUAGUCCUGGCCCUAAACGAUGAAUGCUUGGUGUAACGGGUAUCGAUCCCUGUUGUGCCGAAGCUAACGCAUUAAGCAUUCCGCCUGGGGAGUACGGUCGCAAGGCUG